rnacentral:rRNA from 1 species
UACGUAGGGUGCGAGCGUUAAUCGGAAUUACUGGGCGUAAAGCGUGCGCAGGCGGUUCGUCGUGUCCGAUGUGAAAGCCCCGGGCUCAACCUGGGAAUGGCAUUGGAAACUGGCGGACUCGAGUGUGGCAGAGGGGGGUGGAAUUCCGCGUGUAGCAGUGAAAUGCGUAGAGAUGCGGCGGAACACCGAUGGCGAAGGCAGCCCCCUGGGCUAACACCGACGCUCAGGCACGAAAGCGUGGGGAGCAAACAGG